rnacentral:rRNA from 1 species
UACGUAGGUGGCAAGCGUUGUCCGGAAUUAUUGGGCGUAAAGCGCGCGCAGGCGGUCCUUUAAGUCUGAUGUGAAAGCCCACGGCUCAACCGUGGAGGGUCAUUGGAAACUGGAGGACUUGAGUACAGAAGAGGAAAGCGGAAUUCCACGUGUAGCGGUGAAAUGCGUAGAGAUGUGGAGGAACACCAGUGGCGAAGGCAGCUCGCUGGGACGGUACUGACGCUGAGACGCGAAAGCGUGGGGAGCAAACAGG